rnacentral:rRNA from 1 species
GACGAACGCUGGCGGCGUGCCUAACACAUGCAAGUCGAACGGGGCUGAUUCCUUCGGGGAUCAGCUUAGUGGCGAACGGGUGAGUAACGCGUGAGAAACCUGCCUUUCAGUGGGGGACAACAGUUGGAAACGACUGCUAAUACCGCAUGAUGCAGCGAGGGGGCAUCCCCUUACUGCCAAAGCUUUAUGCGCUGAAAGAUGUUCUCGCGUCUGAUUAGCUAGUUGGUGGGGUAACGGCCCACCAAGGCGACGAUCAGUAGCCGGUCUGAGAGGAUGAACGGCCACAUUGGGACUGAGAUACGGCCCAGGCUCCUACGGGGGGCAGCAGUGGGGAAUAUUGGGCAAUGGGGGAAACCCUGACCCAGCAACGCGGCGUGAAGGAAGAAGGCCUUCGGGUUGUAAACUUCUUGUAGCAGGGACGAAGGACGUGACGGUACCUGCAGAAAAAGCAACGGCUAACUACGUGCCAGCCGCCGCCGUAACAC